AACGAACGCUGGCGGCAUGCCUAACACAUGCAAGUCGAACGAGACCUUCGGGUCUAGUGGCGCACGGGUGCGUAACGCGUGGGAACCUGCCCUUAGGUUCGGAAUAACUCCCCGAAAGGGGUGCUAAUACCGGAUAAUGUCUUCGGACCAAAGAUUUAUCGCCUUUGGAUGGGCCCGCGUUGGAUUAGCUAGUUGGUAGGGUAAAAGCCUACCAAGGCGACGAUCCAUAGCUGGUCAGAGAGGAUGAUCAGCCACACUGGGACUGAGACACGGCCCAGACUACUGCGGGAGGCAGCAGUGGGGGAUAUUGGAAAAUGGGCUAAGGGUUGAUCCAGUAAUGCCGCGUGAGUGAUGAAGGCCUUAGGGUAGUAAAGCUCGUUUACCCGGGAUGAGAAUGACGUUACCGGGAGAAUAAGCUACGGCUAACUCCGUG
rnacentral:rRNA from 1 species